UGAGUAACACGUAGGUAAUGUGCCUUUGGGUGGGGAAUAACUUAGGGAAACUUAAGCUAAUACCGCAUAAUGCAGCGGCUCCUAAUGGAGACAGUUGUUAAAGAUUUAUCGCCUAAAGAGCAGCCUGCGGCAGAUUAGCCAGUUGGUAAGGUAAUGGCUUACCAAGGCUACGAUCUGUAUCCGACCUGAGAGGGUGGUCGGACACACUGACACUGAAUAACGGGUCAG
rnacentral:rRNA from 1 species